rfam:Gossypium raimondii Chr01_contig_217, whole genome shotgun sequence.
UGUUAAAAAAUUCAUCAAUUUGUACUACAAAUUACAAGUAUCGUGGACGGAAUAAACACGUAAUGUGCCACGUGUAACUCAUGCUGACAUACAAGAACAAAUUUUUAACAGUAAAAAUGGAUGUAUUUUUUAACA